rnacentral:lncRNA from 1 species
GCCACCACCACGGAAUCAAGCCUCACCACCACCGUACCCCAGCCACCACCACUGAAUCGAACUAAUGGAGCAGCUUUACUGAUGGAACACAGGGGUUAUUGAAAUCUGAGGUACAUUUCAUCAACCACCGUGCAACCACCACCACAUAACCGAUCCAAGCAAAAACAACUUCUCAGCAAAGGAAACUCACCAGCGAAGGAAAAAGGGAGAGAUCAUUAAACAACAAUCAUUGAAGUCACCAGCAAAGGAAACUCACCAGCGAAGGAAACAACCGCGGCGGAGCAAUCAUUGAAGUCACAACCACGGCGGAGCAAUCAUUGAACAGAUCCAACGGUCUGUUAACCACCCCUAAAAACCAUCUCCUCUGAGAUGGCCUAAUCGCCGGCUUAAACCUUCAACACAAGGAGAGAGGAGGAAACUCACCGGAACAGGGCUGUUGGUCAGAACACGACUGUGAAUCCGCCGGUGCACCAUCUGGAACAACGUUGUUGGUCAGAACACCACCGGAACAGGAAACUCGUACACCAUCUGAACCAUGGAAAAAUCGAAUUUUAGGAUUGUUCUUCUAGGGUUCUUAAAUGGUGGUGAUGGGGUUUGGUGGUGAUGGCCUGGUUGUUUAGAGAGGGCUUAUAGUGUUUAGAUCAGGUUGUUGUUUUAGGUUAAUGCUAAAGGACGAAAGGUGUAAUGAGUUUUUCAAAUAAAGGACUGUGACUGUAGUUAUUGAAGUUAAAGGCUAUCCAUUGCAAUUCGAUACAAACAUAAAGGACGAAAAGUGUAAUUUAAAGCAACCAGAUUGCCGCCAAAAGAAACAAGUUGACCACCUUCCUUUUCUUUUACCUAUGAUCGCUGAUUGAUCGGAAGUCGAUAUAAUUUCCGCAUUUCCUUUUCGGUUCCAAUCACGAUCAAAGACGAAAUCAUGUCCCGGUUCUUCGAUAAUUAUUAUUCUUACCAUUUCGAUUCGGAAAGUUAACAAAAUUCGAUUCUAUGAUUUGUGUAUAUAUAGCAUCGAUCCACCUCGUCAUCUCUCACACCCAAGCCUUUUCGACACACUCUCACAACCUCCUUCGUAUAAACCCGCGAAUCGCCGGAACACAUUCCUAGUUCACGCCACCGGUUCGAUACUCUAGCCCUAUCACCCUCUUCCAUUGUGUGUUCACCGAGCAUGUCACCGGAGUUCGAAGACGAGGAACAACCGGGAACUCACCAGAGACACUACGGCCAUCCAACGCAUUUCGUUUCGGUAUAUAUCUCCUUAUUCCGUAUGGUUUCUGUUGUUAUAUUUUUGUUUCAUUCAAUUGAUCUUUUGUGAUAUCCACUUGGUAUUGUUCAUGUAAUUUCCAUGUUAGUUCACUAAGGGAAAACAACCUCUUGUUU